rnacentral:rRNA from 1 species
CCUACGGGAGGCAGCAGUAGGGAAUCUUCCACAAUGGGCGAAAGCCUGAUGGAGCAACGCCGCGUGGGUGAAGAAGGUCUUCGGAUCGUAAAACCCUGUUGUUAGAGAAGAAAGUGCGUGAGAGUAAAUGUUCACGUUUCGACGGUAUCUAACCAGAAAGCCAUGGCUAACUACGUGCCAGCAGCCGCGGUAAUACGUAGGUGGCAAGCGUUAUCCGGAAUUAUUGGGCGUAAAGGGAUCGCAGGCGGUCUUUUAAGUCUGAUGUGAAAGCCUUCGGCUUAACCGGAGUAGUGCAUUGGAUACUGGGAAACUUGAGUGCGGAAGAGGAGAGUGGAACUCCAUGUGUAGCGGUGAAAUGCGUAGAUAUAUGGAAGAACACCAGAGGCGAAGGCGGCUCUCUGGUCUGUAACUGACGCUGAGGUUCGAAAGCGUGGGUAGCAAACAGGAUUAGAUACCCUUGUAGUC